UACGUAGGUGGCAAGCGUUGUCCGGAUUUACUGGGCGUAAAGAGCGCGCAGGCGGUCGUUCAAGUCGCGUGUGAAAGCCCCCGGCUCAACUGGGGAGGGUCAUUCGAUACUGAUCGACUCGAAGGCAGGAGAGGGUAGUGGAAUUCCCGGUGUAGUGGUGAAAUGCGUAGAUAUCGGGAGGAACACCAGUGGCGAAGGCGACUACCUGGCCUGUUCUUGACGCUGAGGCGCGAAAGCUAGGGGAGCGAACGGG
rnacentral:rRNA from 1 species